AUGCUGUCUUGGGGAUAUCUUGUUCACGAAUGCGAAUCUGAUGAUAACCCAUACGGAGGUCAAGCUUGGAGAAAACUUGGCUCCUUUGAGUUGCUCGAAAAGCUCAUUGAUGUUGGCAAGUGGGUACUUGUUCUUUAUUGUUUUCUUGUUCAAUGGAUGGUAGUCGACACAAAGUCGGUCCGUGCCAUCCUUCUUCUGGACAAAAGAACACCACAACCCCAUGGAGAUGAACUCGGUCUGAUCACACCCAGACGCUCUUGUUCAUCGAGCUGUUUCUUCAAUUCCUUCAAUUCCUUUGGUCCAAGCUUGUAA
rnacentral:rRNA from 1 species